rnacentral:lncRNA from 10 species
AUGAAACUAUCUCUUUCAACCCUCCUCCUCCCUUAUAAGGUAAACUACAUGAGAAUAAGAAUUUUUAUUUGUUUUGUUUACUGAUAUUUUUCUCAGUGCCUAAAAAAGUACUGGGUACAUAGUACUCCCUAAAUAUUCAUUUGAAUAGAUUGAGCCUGUGUUUUACAGAUGGAAAAAAUUAAGUCUCACAGUUUCAAUGACUGGCCCAGAGUCACACAGCUGCUUCUCAUUAGAGCCUGUAAUUCACAUCCCCUGCCUCCUUUCCUGCUGUCUCGUCUCUCACAUGCGCCAUGCUUUUCUACAUGAGCAUUUAUUUCUCCCACAUGCCUUCCUAUAAUACAAAAUUGGAUAGUUCUAUCAAUUUACUGAUUUCUCAUGUUUUUAUUUCGGCAAAUGAUUCAACACCACUUACUGCACCCACAUAUCUACACCAAUAGAUCAAUACUGAAUCAUCUUUCAAUUUAUUGGUUCCUACUUUGCUUAGUUCCUGAGUCUUCAGUAAAGCUGAACCUUUCACUUCUCUCUCCUGACAGGGCUAAGCCAAGAUAGAGCUGUGUGAUACGUUUCCCAUCCCAGGACUAGGAACUCAUCAACCAACCCCUGGGUCUCAGAGACUCCUGGGUCAUCUGGGAGGAGGCUUUGAACAGUGAAGCCUACCUUCAACAGUUGAUUCACCAAUUGGGCCUCUGCAAUCCACAGAAUGGCUCUUCUUGGCUCUUUCUCUUUCCUAUCUCAGUUUGUCAUAUUCCCAUUUAAACAUCUGUAAAACCCCGAUUUUGUUUCUAAAAACUAGUCCCUGUAUAUCCUCCAAACUCAUUUUUCUGGCAUUUCAAGUUAGGGUUCAGGAAGACUUGAUGCCCUCACUUAGGGGAGACUAUUCAAAGGGCUGAAAGCUGGGAUGGGCAUCAAGGGAUGCCAGGAUCUCACCCCACACAGAGUAUCCAGAUCACCAAGUUAUGCAAAAACAUUGACUUACUGAAUUUAGUCCAUUUAAAAAAAUAAGAGUGGAUUAUGUUUUUGGCAAGACCUCUGUCAUCUGUUCUCUUUCUUUACUUAGCUUUCUUUUAGGUCAAAGACAGUAGGGCACAGGGUAAUAAAAAAUGUUUCUUUCAUUCUUAAUACUAUUAUUUAUCCACCCCCCCAUGCUUCUAGAGCAGUGUUUUCAAUAGGGCCAUCCUGCCAAUCCAGGAGGCAUUUGGUAAUGUGUGCAGACAUUUUUUUGUUGUCACAGCCGGGGUGGGGCAUGGUAAGAGGUGCUUCCAGCAUCUGGUGGGGAGAGGCCAGGGAUGCUCCUAAUUGUCCUGCAACAGAGAAGACGUCUCCACGACCAAGAACUGUUCUGCUCCAGAUGUCACCAGUGCUGAGGCUGAGAGAGUGUGUGUGCUCCAGGGGAUGAGCUGCUGUGUGCUGCAUCUGCCUGGAAUUUUAAGAGAAACCCAAGACAGAAGGACUUGUGAGGACCUGCCCUACAAACAAUGGAAACAUUUAGGAGGGACGGAAAAAGAAAAUCAUUGCAAGAAGGACAUGGGGAAGAAAAUAAUUUCAGAAAAGCAUUUAGAGAUGCAAACAGCUGCCUUUAAGCACCAUUGCAAGUUGGGUCUCUAAUACAUACUCCUUGCCCUCUUUCUGUGUCCCACUUACACACAAUUUUUUAUUUUUAGCAUGAGUCUAUUUCUGUAUGUAUGUUCUAUUAGAGAUUAGUAUUUCUUCAACUAUAUGCCACGUGUAAGAGGUCAAGCACAUUUUGAGUACAAAGCUAAUAAUAAAUGAAGAUGUUUUCUAGCUUGAAUACCCAACUCUCGACAAACCAUUCAUUAUAUUUGCUACAGAGACUCACAACACACCUGCCUCACUUUUGCCCCAAACUGAAUAUUAGCCAACUGUUGUUCCUCUCCGUGGAGAGAAGUCUGCCAGGUGGUGAGGCGACACUUAGUACUCAACUGCUGCAAACAGUUGGCUUCCUGGCUCUUCCUUCCAGAAGCAAAAUGAGUACUUGGAUAAAAAUGGAUCUUCUGUCCUCUUUCAAUUAAAGAUAAGAUUUAUGGCAAAAGCAACAAGCAGACAUUUCAGAAAACAAUACAAUCUAUGAGCAAACUUAUGAAGUCAUUCCCAGCAAUGUGGGUCCUUCAUGUUAUACUUAGGAACUGGACUUAUUUUUAUUUACAUUGCAUAUAUCAAGAAGUAGACAUCUCCUCAUCUCCCCCACUCUCCAUACACAAAAGGACAAUAUCUUUUAAAAAUUCUCCCUCUGAGGCAACUGGAAAAAGGAGACAGGUCACCUCCCUCCAAGUGUCCCACCUUUCCCAUUGUUAUACUAGUGUG